GCCGGCUUCACCACAUUUGGUUAUGGCCGAGGAAUUCCAGGCUAUCCGAGUUUUGGCUACUCUUUUCCAGGCUUCCACGGUUUCAGCUACAUUCCUUCACCAGCGGCCACUGACCACCAAGCAACGGCCUUCUUUGUGGACGCCUUCUCUGCCACAGCAGUGUCUACUGCAGCCGCCCUUGCUAGCCACAUGACUAACGUGGGCCAAACGGAGCCACCGGCGGGCCUAGCGCCUAUGGGGAGUUCCCCCAUAAAAAGGGGACAUCCUUUCGCUCCGCAAAUCCCCACUGUGAUCAACAACUAUGGACCUCAAGGAUUUGCCACCUCUCCCUCCCCAGCCAACAACCGAGUCUUCCCGGCAACCAAUAGUCCUGGACCGAUUGACAUCUACACUUCCAAUCAAGAGGGUGUCAGCUAUGUUCAGGACCCGAGUCCUCAAUCGUCAGGAUUUCCUCCAAUAGCUGUUAAUAGAGGCCCGCUGAUUGCUGCAGCUUUUACUAACGGCUACCACUGAACAAUAAAUGGAUUUCACGAUUUCAGCGCCUGAAGACGCUGAGAGAGUGCGUGAAGAAAAUGAGCCUUUUCGCAACCACCUGUUAAUGGAACCCUUUUUACUUCGAGCACUUUGAAUCAUUCACCAGUCACCAUUGUCCUGAUUUCCUUUCUGUUGUUAAUGUUGUUGUUGUUGUACCUCUACUACAUCCUCACCCCGAACGUCGAAAACGAAUCCUUAUCGUACCGUUCGAAGACAACCUUCCCAAGUUCAAAUCUCGAAAUGUUUGUAGCUUUGCAUAUUCCAAUGAGUUAAAAGUAUUGUUUGUUUGUCGACGUUUUGGAGACGACGUCGACUGUUUACCGAGCACUCAAAACCACUUGGGACCGCAGACUUUUCAUGAAAUAGACGUGCUAAUGACGUUUCGUGAAUUUUUGUAAAAGUUUUCGUGCUCGAAUUAUAAGCAAUAAAUAUUUAAAAAAGAGUUACUGAACUCGCACGAUUCACAAACAGUAGUGCUGCACUGAAAGAAUUGAGUGAAGAACUUAUACCUCAGAUGCAUCAGAGAUUCAUUUUAUUACAAAUUCAGAAAGCAGAGGUUGUGUGCAUAUAUUUUCAGUUUGAAAAUGACUGAUUAUAAAGCUUGUUGUAAUGACUGCUUCGCAGAUACGAAAUAAAGUAAGUUCUCAGUAUUUUCAGUUGGCGGUGGUAGGCAAAGUUGCCUUCCUAGCAACUUGAAAAAUUCGAUAACAAGUGUUAAAUGGUGAUACUAUAAUCUGUUUAUGUUUAAAAGUGUUGAUUGUAUAUUGUAUCCUUAUAAUCACAUGUGGAUAUAUAGACUUGGAAAGUAAUCUUUUUGAAUGUCUGUGCAUUGUGAGUGGAAGGGUGAUAUCUCUUUAUGUACACCUAAAGCAAUACAAAAAUAUUAAGCUUUACGCUUAUUGUCGGCUCUACAUUUUACAAUACGAGCAAGCUGUUUAACAUGAAUCAUUUAUUGAAAUUUUAUUAUCUCUUUCUGUUCGUAGAAUAGUCAAUAGUCCUAAAAACCCCCCAGAACAACAGUUUUUUUUGGGGGGGAGGGUUUUGAAGUUCUGAUAAGAAUUAAAAGAUAGAUUUUUACUGGUGAAUUAUAUAAAACAUUUUAUAGCCAGCCCACAUUCUAUUAAGUCUGUUAGUAGAAAGGGAACACUUGUUCGCAUUGUGGGGGGAGGGGGAGAGUUUUGUGAAAAUUUUGAUUCGACGUAUUUUAGCUCUUUAGUUAUUUAAUUCUAUUCACCUUUUGGUGAAAGAAAGUAACAAUGAAUUGACAUUCUCGUUGACUGUUGCUCGUAUUGCAAAAAUAAAACGUUUUACAAUGAUAGCUUAAUGUAAAAUGUUCGAUGCAUAUGAAAUCCUAGUGCUUUAAUUUUGCUAUAUUUUAAUUAUAUUUUCAAGUACGUCAGUUUUAUAAAUUGUUCUUGUCAAUAACACAUAAAUCUUGUUAUCUGCACCAUAUAUUGUGAGUGCUCCCCUAUGUAUUCAAUGUGAGCACCCCUUCUAUAAUGACAGUCAUUUUUUUUCUCUCGAAGAGCAGUCAUUAAUAUACUUUGGGAAGCUAACUUCCUAGUUCCUAAUGAAACGGCACUUCCAUUAUGACUGCUCAGGAAAGCUCGAAGGCUAUCAAAUCAUUCUGCGCAGUACUUUGGAAUUUUGUAUUAAAUGUUAAACGUUUACUUUUUUAAGAGUAAACCGGAAUAGUAGUAUUGGCAUUCAUCGACAGAUGGCACCUGAAAACAGCAUGUGCAAUGCUGCGCAUGAGAACUUGUUUCCGAUAUUUUCAAAAAGAAUAAUUUUCCCGCUAUUUUUACAGUGCUAAAAUACUGAUUCUACAUUUACAGUAUUCUGAAUGCCUGAAAAAUCACUUUAUUUUAACCAAAGCAAUAUAUGGUUAAAAAAUGCUACUUAAAUUUGUCUUAGAAUUUUACGUAGAAAGUAGAAUUAGAGGUUGUGUACGAUCAAGCAUCUGCGAAUCCCACCAAAAUGAUCUUCCACUGUUGGACAAUGAAUGUCAAUUCGGGUAAACAUCUACAUUGCAAUAAGCCAUCAGACGUACUUUAGCUGUUUGAAAAAUAUUUUUAUAUGAAAACAUUUCCUUAUUUUCAAGUGAUGUUUUCAUAGUCUGUAGAUAUGUGUGUGAGCAACAUAAGGCAUCUUGAUAUACGUAUGUAUGUUUUAGAAAGCACAUUCCUGUUUCUUGGUAAUCGUUAACGAUUCGCAUUUCUGUGUUUCAAACGCUAAAAUCUUAUAUAUAAUAUGGAAAUAAGUGUUUAAAAGCUUUCCGGUUUCUUUAUAUACUUUUAUUCAUGCUUUUUGAACAGAAUACUUUAAUUUUGCAAUGCGUCCGUCUCAUAAGCUAACUAAUAGAAAUGAGAUGAUUUUUUUUUUCAAUUUUAGUAACAGUCAUAAACAAUACUUUUUUGCUUCGUUCUUUUCGCUAAAGGAUAUAUUCUGAUGCGUUAAACGUUUAAUACCUAUGUACAUUAAAUAACAAAAGUGUUCAACUUCCUCUUGUUUCAGCAAUAUACGACAAAUGCAAUAUCUAGUUGCGCAAAACAACAUUAAAAAAUUAUAUGAUGUUAAAAAAUUGGCACUGAAAAGGACGUUACCGCUUGAUUUUUGGAUUAAUUUCUUCGGAUAAUUUCAGAUACAAUAUUAGCAAUUAAAAUGAAGAUACUACGUUUUUCAAAUUUCAGAUUCAUAAGUGUUGAGGGUAUUCACUUUAUCAAAUUCUGAAUAUUUAUCUCGGAAAUGAUAUUUAUGUCAAGAUUGUCACAGUGAACCCAAAUGUGUUCAGAACGCAUACAGUUCUGGCAAAAUUUUUUAAAUAACAAAUUCCAAAGUACUUCGCUAAGGAAGGUUAAUUCUUUCUAUUCUCAUACCUCUUUCUUAAUAUAAAAUGACAAGCUUGCUUUGGGUCGCUUUUUGAUUAGUGGAAUUUAAUACUUUGUUUAUGUAAUUGUUUAUAAGAUGAUAACUCAGAUUUCAUAUCAUGUCAAGCUUAUAACACCAUAAAUGUUAAUUGCCAAUCAUCAAUCUUUAUGAGGUUCGUGCUUCUAGAAAUGAACUUCAUUUGUUUUUAUUACGAAAUUAUUAGACGCACGUACAAAAUUUUAUAACUAUUACAUCUUUAAUAAAGAUCGAAAUUAUUCUGCGUUUUAAAUUUAAGUAUCUGAAAAAACUGAAUUAAUGUUGUUCAUAUUUUUCCGAUGGCAAAUCUUUAAAGCCUCUUGCGAAUUCGAGUUUCUGCCUAACACCAAUAUUUACAAAUAAUGUAACGACAAAGUAAAAUUAAAAUUACAGCAACAUCAAACUUGAGAGAUAAAAAUUAAGAAUACAUAGAAAACUGAAAAAAAAAAUAAUAAUCAGAACCAAGGAAUUUUAAACUCCUAAUUAAGCAACAAAUCUGAGAACUUUCAUAUAAAAUUCUGAAUAACUCAUAUUGAAAAUUAAAUUUAUAUUUAUUAAAUUUGUUACAUAGAAAUUUUUACAUGUGUUUUUAAUUGCAAUCACGCUAUCUUAUCAUUAAUCGAUCCAGAGCAAGCUUAGAAUUUUAAGCUAAUCAUUAGCUUAAAAAUGGAUUCCCCUGCCAUUUUAUUUGGAUAUAAUUUCGAUUUCAUGUUCCUUAGAUGCUCACAUACUGAAAUUUUCGAUGUUAUUUGUGGAUUUUUCGGUGUGGGAAGCACUCUAAUUCUUAUUAGUACCUGUACAGUAUAGGAAAGGAGAAGAAAGUGCGAAAAAUCAUAAAUGUACAACAAAAAGGAUGAUAUACACUUGAUGCACUUACUACUUAGUAGAUGUAGAUGAUAACAAAUGGAUGUUUAUUCCGCAAAAGCAAUAGCAACACUCCUCUGCAUUGUGCAGGGGCGGGUGCAUUAUAUAACAUGUACUAUUUUCGAGUGUAUUGUAUCGUGCAACGUGAUCGUACGUCAGUACGUGAUUUAUAUUUCUCGCUUCCUAGUGUGCCUCAGACAGAUGUGUUCCACAAAGAAUUCGAGAAAUGCCUACGAAAGUGGAGGAGUGUCUCUUCCACAUGUAAGCUAUGGCUUAAAAAUAUGCAACAUUUUUUGAUAUCUUGAAUUAUUCUUUAUAAAUAUCCAACUAUUUUAAUUUUGUUCCAAAGUUUCCGUUUUAACCAUGCUAACUGCUUCUAGAUUUUUUUUAAUUAAAAUAGAUGUGAAGAGGAGCAUCUCCUAGAACAAAAGUAUUUUCUUAAAUUAUAAAAUAAGGUAGAAAAAUCUGAAUUGCAGAUGAAAAAAAUUUCUUUGUUUAAAAUAUGCUGUAUUGAAACAAAAGAAGGGAUGCAAAGACAAAUCGAAGUUUAGGUAACGUAGAUUUAAAGUUUUAACUUUGAAAACGCUAAGGCAAAUUAAUCUUCCAGUAGGCAUGUUCCUCUUACAUCUGUUAAAAAUGUGUAAUUAGUAAUAGAAUGGAUUCGUUGAAACAAAAUAACAGACUAAUAUAAAUUCUCUAUCUCCCUGCAGAGUUUAGAAGAUAUUUUCUAUGACUGAAGAAUUUAACUGCUAAUAAAUAUCAUUAAUAACAAUAAUAAUAGUUAUAGAUUUGUUAGCUCAGAUUUUAAAGUUAGAUUGCCCCCUCUGAUAUAUAAAAUUUUCAGAACAUGAAGCAAAAUCAAUUAUCAUACAUAUUAAAAUGAUAUAUAACAUUUUCACCAAUAUUUAGAAAAAUGUGCAAUACAAAAUAAGUAAAAGACCAUGGAUAAAAUUGUAUGCAUGAAACGGUUAGGAAAGCAAAAGUACAAAACAACUGUACAAAAAGGGCUUUUCAUUAUGUCGUAACAACAUGACAUGUAAAGAAGUGGUUUUUUUUUAAUAUGAACUAUUUUUAUUUCAUAAAAGUAAGAAAUUUUAAAUUAUUAAUAUAGUAGAAAACGUUAUAAAGUUUUAGAUACUUGGGGGUAACAGAGUUAAAACUUUUAUUUGUGGUCAUACAGGAAAUGAUCAAACUUGUAUAGAUGUAUGUAAUUAAUUUAUAUAAUCAGCCUAAAACUAAAAGACGAGAAUAAUAUUUAAUUUAAAUUAGUCAUUAGAACAAAAAAAAUCUGCACAUGAAUACACAUCUAAAAUUAAAUUUAUUCAAAUAUAAAGCUAUGAUUUUUUGUUUUUUCAUAUUUCAUGCACAUAUAACAAAAUACUCUUAUGGAAUAACACAAGAAUAUUUUUAGUUAAUUUUUAAUUAGUUUUUAAUUAAAAGUAAUCAGAUGUUUUAGCUAUCUUAUAAAAAUAAGAUAUCUAAAUCAUAUGAUCUCUUUUUCUCUAACCAUAAAGUAAUUUUAACAUGCUUUUAACUUUUAAAACCAAAUUUUCAACUUUUUAUCAUUAAAACAUAAAAGAAAGUUUCAAAUUAUUGUGCGAUGCUGUUUAUUUUGAAAUAUCUAACAAUUUCAUUUUGACAAAUUAAUUUUUAAUAUAUACUAACAUAUUAAGAGAUAAAAUCUUCAACUUAAACAAAACGAAAAUAAUUAAUUUUUUUAUAAUAGAAUUUCAUUUCAAAAAGAGACUAAAGCAUUUUUCAAAGUUAAACAGAUUACAUUAAAAUAUUCCCAUUUUCGCUUCAAAAUUUGCAGGUGAAUAUAAAACACCUCGCGUAUUAAAAGGUGUGUGUUAUUUAAAAUCUCAGUAUACUGACAUAUGAGUCAUUGCUUUGGAAUUUAAGCAGAGUAUUCGAUUGCGUUUCAAAAUAACGAAGUAGCAUGUUUGAUGUUUCUCAGAUUUUUUAAUUUUAUUUAUAUUUCUUUAAAUUAAAAAAAAAUCAACUAAUCAACUGUCUUAGCUGAAAUUAAGAUUUAUAUAUCAAAACAAAUAUUUUUAAGUAAGUGAUAUUACAUGCUUCAUUCAUAGAAAAUUUCAUAUCUUACUUUAUUUUCUUGUAUUAAACACUUAAAUCUUAAACACAAUAAGCAUACAAUAAACCUUACUUUAUUUUCAUGUAUUCAUUUAACUCAAAUUAAUGCACGUUAUGUACAUUAAUCUGAUAAUUAAUUUUGAUAUUAUAACUUCUGAGAAAUGCGCCUUCUUUUGUUCUGUGAUGAAGCUAAAAUUUUAAGAAAUAAAUUAAUUUAGGAAAUAAAUUUUUCAUUAAAAACUUCUGAAAUAAUUUUUAUAUCGUACAUUGCAUUUCAUAAGCCUUUCUUUUCAAACAGUUUCCGUAACAAAUAUAUUACAGCUAGAAUUCGGUGUUAUUUCUAAAACCAGAAUUUUAUCUCGACAAUCAAAAUACUUUCCAAAAUUUUUAAUCCUAAAAUCGUUAAUUUCAUGUAGCUCAUUUGCCAUUUAUACAACAUUUCGAAAUGCAGUACAUUUAAAAAAUAUUCUGCGUAUAUUAUACUUACCAAUUUUUCAUUGAACUGUUAACACACCGUUUUUCUCGCUUUUUCUGACAAUUAAUUUCAGUAUUGGUUUUACACUUUGAACGAAAUACCUAAUUCAAUUUUAAAAAAAAGUCCACCUAAUUCAAUUUUUCCUCUUUCUUCAAGGGCAGGAGAAAUUUUGGACGUCGUCUACAAGAAUUAAAAUAUUUACCUCAUCCAAAUUAUAAGAACACUUUCGUCUAAAUGAAGGCGCGAGCAACGGACUGUUAUAAAAAUUAUAGCUUAGAAUUUUGCAACGUAGAAACUAUUCGUUUCUCAAAAAUUAACGAAUAAAAUUAAAUUUUAGUAGUAGUACUUAAGAAAACCGGAAUUCAGAAUAGCGGAAGAGCACAGAAUUUCGACAAUAGGUAUACUAUAUAUUUCGACAAUAGGUUUUUGAAACAUAGUACGUACAAAAUUGCUUUUUGUUAUUCUCCAAUUGAAUUAAUGAUUCUAUGUUUAAGAUUUUUAACAAGCAAAAUAGGAACUGCGAAUGCAGUUGAAAUGACUCUUAUUCUGUACUUGCUGUAGUAAUUAGUAUGAAGAAUGAAAGAACCGUAUCCAUUAACUGAAUUACAAAGUAAAUUUAUAAAUCUUUAUAAAAAGAUUUUUCUUCGAUUGCUAAUGCAAAAUGAUUGCAUUUAGACAAUAACUACAUAGUACAAAGUGAAAGGGUACAAACUAAUUGAAUUUGUUUUACGAUCAUGAAGAAUACAUUGAAACGCGUUCGUAGAAAACAGAAAGUUAUGAAAUCAUAGAUUUAACUCCACCAGAACAUAAUGGCCUAAUAGAAACAAAGCUUUACCUUAAAAUCAAUUCAACUUUGGCAUUUUCAUUUAAAAGAAAAAUCUUUCAGAAAUUUUGGGAUAGCAGAGUACUUCGAAGUUAAUACUUUUUUCUAGAAGUUCCCUUUAAAGUAAGAAAAGUAAACUGCUUUCCACCACUGAAAUUUAUUCGACUAAAUGAUAAAUAUUUUGAAAACAAGGCUUUUAACUUUCUAAUUUAUAUAAAUUAUGUAUGCAUUUCAGAAAAGCAACUGGAUUUAAUAAAGAAGAAUUAUUUCUGUAAACUUGCAAUAUAAGUAUAAUAGAUUGCUUCCAUAAAGUAUUAGAACGGAAUUUUUAUCUAUGUACCAUUUCUCAUCAUUUAAAAAUAAUUAAAAUAAGCAUAAUAAUAUUAUUAAUUUUGCUCAAGACCGCAAUCAUAUGUGAAUUUUCAAUUCCAUCUUAAUAAGCAAUAAAAUAUUUUAAUUGAUUGAGGCCUUCAAGAAAUUGCUAUAUUUUUGGUUAUACUUGAUAAAAUGGACCGUAGACAUUAGAGUUUAAAGACAAUCAGUAGAUUCGUGGUAUUUAGAAAAGUUUCUUCAAUUUUAGAAAAUGAAUUAGAUAAGAAUUACUAAACGUUUAUUGGUUAGUUUCAAAUAACAAAAAAAAAAAAACUACUAUAAUCCCGUAAGUGAAGUAUUUUUAUACAAUGCGCGUGAUUUUUGUCCUUCCCAUAUUCAUUUUUAUGGAAAAUGGUUGUAUAAAGACGCUUAGAAAUCGUAGAUGAAAAGUCUUCCUUACAGUGUAUGUGCUUUAUCUAUGGAUAUAUAAGCUUUUGCGCAAUAGACUAUCUUUUGACAGAUUCAAUAAAAAAUUGUAACGUUUAAAAUCCUAUUUCGUGUUUUGCUAACGGCUUAUGAAAUGCGUUUUCUCAGAAUAAAAGAACGCGCAUUUGUUUCCUUGAAUUUCUUUUUUACACAUUGCGAAUUAAUUCAGAGCUCUCUUUAAAAUUUCGAAGUCGAAAUUAGGAUCUCAAUUAACAUUUCAAGUAGAAAUGUAAUGAAAUUCAACUUAUUCUGAAUUCGUAAUGAGUUGCGGACAAUAUGUACUCAUUGCCAUGAAAUUUACACUUUUUAAUUUGAAAAAAAAUUAACUUGAAGUUUUAAAAGAUGUGUUUAUUUCUGAAAUUCAUUUUUAUGGAUAUUUCUUAUUUAACUACAAAAUUUCGAAGAAUUACAGGACACAGUUAAGAUACUUUAUAUUGUCCAAAAAAAAGGCAUUAGUCAAAAAAAUCUAAUCUUAUGAAUAAUUAUGAUUAAUUUUAAAACAUUUAAAUUUACACAAAUGUAUAAUUAAUUAAUCUAAGGCAAAUUUAUCAGUACAUUGGUAUUGUCAAUAUUAUUGCAAUUUAUGCAUCGGUUUUUCCAGAAAAUUCUUUGGGCAUUCCAUAGUGCUAAUUGAAAAUUUUUUUCUACUGCUUCUGUUAAUCUAUUUUCCUUCCUUUGUUCUUUUGUGAUCUGAUGUCUUAAUUGUAGGUAUCGAAGUUUGAAUAUUUAUAAUAAAUUUAUUAUAAAAGAAAAAUACGUAUACUGCUAAGGUAGUUUUAGAUUUGUUUAAUACAAAUGUAUUUUUUAAUUUUAUUUAAAAUCUCUAUGUAAUAGUAAUAUUUCACGUUAUAUUCUAUUGUAGAUUGUAUGGAUCAUUAUCGUGCACCAUCAUCAUAUAGAAUAAUUGUCUCAUUCUUGGGAAAAAAAUGUUAAAGCUUUAAAAUUGUUUAUCAAUGAUUUUACAAAAAUAAGCAGUUUUUAUGAAAACUGUUCAGCCAUAUUUUAAUUGCAUGAUAUACUUUUAUUACGGAAAUUUACGGAAAUUUAAACAUGAACUUCACUCGCAAAAAUGGAAAAUAAAAUACUUUUUCGACUUCGACCUUGAAGAAAGUUCAAUAUUUAUUCUUUUAAAUCAUAAUAAUAGCUAAUGAACAACUGGAAAUGCCUUCCAAUAAUACAAACAAUUUUAAAUAAAUUUUGAUAGUAUUUAUGAACGUGAUAGUUUCGUGAUUUAGUACUACGAGUAUAAUUACACUAGUUUAACGUAGCCAGAAUAUACCAUUUGAGCGCUAAAUAUUGCUAUUUUAUGAAACAUGAAACCAAGUCUGUCCAAAAGCAUUUUGUAUUGCCUGUAAAUGUUAAAUACUGAAUUUUCGAUUCGAUUAAAAUUCAGAUAAGUGUUGAAAUUUUUUUAUAUCUUUAUUUACAUACUUUUAUAUGUGUUACUAAUUGUUACACUUUUAAGAAACGAUAACAGAAUUAAUGCUGUUAAAAUUUACCUUUUCUUAGUUUAUAUAUUCAGAUGUAUGCAGUCUAUUUGAUUGACCUUUUUCCGUUUGCAUUACACUAUUAACUUAAUGACAGACUAAUUUAAUAUUUGCUAUACAUGUAGCCUGUUUGAAGCGUUCGAGAAAGAAAGAUUAGAAAUUCAUUAAAGAGUUUAAUUUUUAGGGACUACCAUAGCACCUAAAAGUACUUUGAAAAUAAUUCUUUUUAAUCAUUAAGGUUUUCCGGACUUCAAUUUUCUUGGAGUAAACCAAAAUUCCGAAUCAACCAAUUUUGAAUUAACGACAGUUUAAUGCAUUUAGUAUCGCUACUAAAUCUUCCGUAACAAAAUGUUUUGCAAUAAGAUAUUCAAAUUUUAAGCCAAUUUACUGAACUAACAAUCAGUCAAAAAUUUUUCUUACUAUUUAAAAUCGUGAAUAUAUUUACAAAUAUAUUUACAAAGCAGCUCUAUUUUGACGAGACCUAGCAAACAAUCAUGUUAUAGCAAAAGCAAAACCUCUUCAGAACUAAAUUUGCUCCCCUUGUUCUAAGGCAUUUCCAUACGAGUUUAAAAUCCUUGCUUCAAAGCCUUAUUGUGAAAAAUUACUAGUUUAAUAUGCAUUCAUAUUAGGUUGUAUAGCUUGAUGGAAGAACACUCCUUCUACUCUUUUGAGGUCAUUGCUCGAAAGCUGGCAGCCAAAAGCAAUACCUUGAUGUUUCCACGUGUAAACCAGAGGCCUUUCAGUGUUCACAAAAUAUAGAAAGAAAGGUGCACAAGUAGGCAUAGUAGAAAAAUGUGUACUAGCAACUCACUUUUUUUUUUUUUUUUUUUUUUUUUUUUUUUUUUUUUUUUUUUUUUUGUUCUUAAGUUUUUAUUAGGGGUAUAGUUGAAUUUUAAAAAUUCUUCAUAAGUGUAAAUGAGCGAUGGGCAUUGAAAGCUGUUGUGUUCUUCUAAAAAAAUGUGAAUAUUAUCCUGCAAAUAGAGAUCGAUUAUUUGUAAUGAAUGGCAAUGUUUAGAAAAUGGAGUAUGUAUAUAUUGUUCUAUUAAAAAUAAAUCUUUUGUACAUGCACAUUUUGAAUUCAACAAGGCGUUGUACAUCUUAGUUGUAAAAUAAUACUUCUAUAUAAAACAAAUUACUAUAUUUAAAUUCUUAAUUUAUUCAGCUUAUUUAUCAUUAAUCUACAUCUUAAUAAUGGUUUUAAUGGAAUGAAUAAUAACCAAACCUUUUCAGAAUACAUAGUGUUUUCUCCUAAUUAACUGAACUCCUGAGUUAAAGCAUUUCAGACAUGCAAAAUGCUGAGGUAUUAAACUGCAGAUUAUAUCUGUUUAAUUUCAUCCUUAAUUGGUGAACGUCCUCGCUUAUUUUUGAGUACAUUCACCUCUAAAUAUUACUUCAAAUAGAAGGAGUAUAAAUUACAUACAUAGUAUCGAAUUUUAGUAGCCAAAGAAUUACUAGAAAUAACGAGCUUUUUGUAAAAUAUAAGUCAUACUCUCAACUCGAUUCGUCAUGAGAUCCACGCAUCAGAUGAAUUCAUGAAUAACAUAAUGUUAUAAAAUAGAAAUAUUAAAAAUUAAUUCUGAAAGGUUAUUCCAUAUAACUAGAAAUAUUCAAAAUAAAGCCUAAAAGACGAAAUUUCAAAAAGCAUGCUGUAUCCAAAUUAUGCAAACUUCGAAAAAUAUUUUCUUUCCUUACAUAUGUAUUAGAAUACAGACUGUUUUGUUCUUAAAAUAAAUAUCCUACUACUUAUCAUAAGAAAACAAAAGCUUGUGAAACAUUCCAUUUAUCUUUUAUUGGAUAUUCACGCCUGAAUAUUUUUAUAGUUGCUAUCUAUGUGCAUCUACUAACAAUAGAAGCAAUUAAAUAACCCUAAGCGAUAUUAGAAUUUAAAAUGUAGUUUAAGAUUAGUCUAGAUCAGCAAGGUAUAUGUACAUAUCAUAAUUCUAAAUCACGAAAUAAAUUUCGAUCUCUGUUUGUAAGGUAAACAUUAACUGAGAAGAAAUACGGCCAUUUUUGCGCCAUAAAUUAAAUCUCGAAAACAUUUGUAAUCAUUUGAGGUCAUGGAGUAAAGCUAGAGAGCCCUUAGAGACGUGUUUUGUUUCAUUUUAACCUCAGAUAAUCUUAAUGUAUCAUAUCUGUUUCACCAGAAUGUUCUGCUAAACUUUUGUGAUUUUUAUAAACAGUGAUUUAUUUUAUACGGAGAGGUUCACACAAGAAGUUAAACUAAAAGCGUGUUAUGAUCUUCUAGUUCUUCGAAGAUGAUGCAAUUCUUCGACACACUGGUGAUAAAUUUUUUCUUCCAAUUAUAUACAUAUAAAUAAGUGAAAAACCUUGCUAUGCAGUUUUUUCUAUACAACCAUACAUUAGAUAGUUUUUAUUUUCCUCUUUUUGAUGUCAAACUACUCCUUUAUGCAUUUAAGCUGAAGUAAAUCUUAUGUAUGGAGUGUUAUGUUAAAUAAUGUGUUUGUAAAUUGAUAAAAUUUCAGUAGAUAGAGCUCUUUUAUACAUUUUUGCGUAGGAGACUCAAUCGAAUUUGAGAAGAAGCAAUAGAUGCACAGAAAGAAAAUCAAGGUCAUUUAGAAAUGACAGCUUAUCGGAUAACAUAAAUAUCCUUUUCGCUUCUAUCCUCUUCAAAUGUGUUUAGCCUUUUAAUUAGACCUAAACGGCACUAUUUCUUUUUAAAAUAUAAAUAACAAAAAUUAAGUUGCCAAUUUCUUAGCUCAAGGAUCAUCUCAGAAAACAAACUCUUGCGAAGCAUCAGGAUAGAAAAAAGAAGUCAGAAACCUCUUUUUGUUCAAGAUUAUGAUUUUUCAUGGUAAUAAAUGUCAGUCAGUGAUUAAAUUGUGUCAGUUAUUAAUUUUCGUUUUGUCAUGCUAUCAUUCCUAAUAUUCCAUGAAUUGCCUUGGCUUUGGUUAUACCAAAUAAAUCGUGCUUUAAAAAUUGAAUCAUGUUUGCUAUAGUCUUUUCUUGUAGAUUUUUCUGCUUGAAGUACAUUCCAAUAAGAAAUUUUAUUUAUGUCCAAUUAUAUGCAUGUUAAUCUAAGUUAUGUAUGUUAAUUUAAGUUAAUCUAAGUUUAAAGUUUAUCUUGCCCAUCACUGUCAUAAGAAUGCUCUGGAAUGUUCAAGAUUAAAAAGCGUCUCUUAUGUUGGUCAUACUUCCACUUUUAAUUAUCUGUUGCAAUAUUAAUUUAAAUGUAAAAACUGCUUAAGUAAGCUGGCAUGCAUUUUAAGAUGACUAGGUAUCGUAUGGAUAACAGAUUACUGCUCUUAAAUAUAUCCAAGAGGAUUAAUUUUGUAAAUGAAUAUUAAGUGAUUUUGAAAUCUUACAGUGAAGAGGAACAUGGAAAUAUUUGCUUCAAUUAGCAGAGAAUAAUUUUAUGGAACUAGCAGUAAAUGAUUGUCAUUUUUAUGUAGUUAAUCGUAUUAACCAUAAUUGCUUUCGGUUAAUAAUUAGAAAAUUAGUUUAUACGAAACUCUGUAAAAUAAUCUACGAGUAUAAAGCAUAACAUGUGUAAGUUACAUCUCUCUCGCUUCUAUAAUAGUUAAUAGCUACUUAAUUGAAUUUACAGAAAUUAAUCUCAAAUGCAGGAGACACAAUAUCUUUUUCUUCUUUCAAAUUAGUAAUGAUAAUAUUUUCAAGCGACAAUAUUAUCAAUUCAAUAAUAUUUUUAAGAUUCGAAAAUAUCACUGUAAUUUUAGUUUCAAUACAUAGAUGUUUUGACUGGGAAUUGUCUGUCUCGUCUGACUAUUUACAUCUUUUCAACUGGUAAAUAUUCUUCCCAAGAAUAAUUUUUUUUAUUCCGGA